UAUUAAAACAUAUAGGCCUAUGGACUAGGCUACAUGAGGUGUGAUACUAACCUUAUUAAAACAUAUAGACCUAUGGACUAGGCUACAUGAGGUGUGAUACUAACCUUAUUAAAACAUAUAGACCUAUGGGCUAGGCUACAUGAGGUGUGAUACUAACCUUAUUAAAACAUAUAGACCUAUGGACUAGGCUACAUGAGGUGUGAUACUAACCUUAUCAAAACAUAUAGGCCUAUGGACUAGGCUACAUGAGGUGUGAUACUAACCUUAUAGGCCUAUGGGCUAGGCUACAUGAGGUGUGAUACUAACCUUAUUAAAACAUAUAGGCCUAUGGACUAGGCUACAUGAGGUGUGAUACUAACCUUAUUAAAACAUAUAGACCUAUGGACUAGGCUACAUGAGGUGUGAUACUAACCUUAUCAAAACAUAUAGGCCUAUGGACUAGGCUACAUGAGGUGUGAUACUAACCUUAUAGGCCUAUGGGCUAGGCUACAUGAGGUGUGAUACUAACCUUAUUAAAACAUAUAGGCCUAUGGACUAGGCUACAUGAGGUGUGAUACUAACCUUAUCAAAACAUAUAGACCUAUGGACUAGGCUACAUGAGGUGUGAUACUAACCUUAUCAAAACAUAUAGACCUAUGGGCUAGGCUACAUGAGGUGUGAUACUAACCUUAUUAAAACAUAUAGGCCUAUGGACUAGGCUACAUGAGGUGUGAUACUAACCUUAUCAAAACAUAUAGACCUAUGGACUAGGCUACAUGAGGUGUGAUACUAACCUUAUUAAAACAUAUAGGCCUAUGGGCUAGGCUACAUGAGGUGUGAUACUAACAUUAUUAAAACAUAUAGGCCUAUGGGCUAGGCUACAUGAGGUGUGAUACUAACAUUAUUAAAACAUAUAGGCCUAUGGGCUAGGCUACAUGAGGUGUGAUACUAACCUUAUUAAAACAUAUAGACCUAUGGGCUAGGCUACAUGAGGUGUGAUACUAACCUUAUUAAAACAUAUAGACCUAUGGACUAGGCUACAUGAGGUGUGAUACUAACCUUAUCAAAACAUAUAGGCCUAUGGACUAGGCUACAUGAGGUGUGAU